CAGAAACUGAAGUGGAAGUUUCUUUUAAUGAAUACACGAAUACUAGUUUAUCUCAAUACUCUGAGGAGAUAAGAGAAGAAAAAGAUCAGUUCACGCCCUCUAGAAUCAACAAGGUAAGCGAAUCAGUCCCGCUGGGUCUUCUUAAGAAGCAAUCUAGAUCUAAUCACCAAAUGGAGGGUGAAAAAUAUAAUAUUUCUGUUAAUGGGCG
rnacentral:misc_RNA from 1 species